GUAGUCAUAUGCUUGUCUCAAAGAUUAAGCCAUGCAUGUCUAAGUGUAAGCAAUUAUACCGCGAAACUGCGAAUGGCUCAUUAUAUAAGUUAUAGUUUAUUUGAUAGUACCUUACUACAUGGAUAACCGUGGCAAUUCUAGAGCUAAUACAUGCUAAAAACCCCGACUUCGGAAGGGGUGUAUUUAUUAGAUACAAAACCAAUGCCCCCUGGGCUCUCUGGUGAUUCAUGAUAACUUCUCGAAUCGCACGGCCUUGCGCCGGCGAUGGUUCAUUCAAAUUUCUUCCCUAUCAACUUUCGAUGUUUGGGUAUUGGCCAAACAUGGUUGCAACGGGUAACGGAGGGUUAGGGCUCGACCCCGGAGAAGGAGCCUGAGAAACGGCUACUACAUCCAAGGAAGGCAGCAGGCGCGCAAAUUACCCAAUCCCGACACGGGGAGGUAGUGACAAUAAAUACUGAUACAGGGCUCUUUUGGGUCUUGUAAUUGGAAUGAGUACAAGUUAAAUCCCUUAACGAGGAACAAUUGGGGGGCAAGUCUGGUGCCAGCAGCC
rnacentral:rRNA from 1 species